rnacentral:rRNA from 1 species
AGUGAACGCUGGCGGUAGGCCUAACACAUGCAAGUCGAACGGCAGCACAGUAAGAGCUUGCUCUUACGGGUGGCGAGUGGCGGACGGGUGAGGAAUACAUCGGAAUCUACCUUUUCGUGGGGGAUAACGUAGGGAAACUUACGCUAAUACCGCAUACGACCUACGGGUGAAAGCAGGGGAUCUUCGGACCUUGCGCGAUUGAAUGAGCCGAUGUCGGAUUAGCUAGUUGGCGGGGUAAAGGCCCACCAAGGCGACGAUCCGUAGCUGGUCUGAGAGGAUGAUCAGCCGCACUGGAACUGAGACACGGUCCAGACUCCUACGGGAGGCAGCAGUGGGGAAUAUUGGACAAUGGGCGCAAACCUGAUCCAGCCAUACCGCGUGGGUGAAGAAGGCCUUCGGGUUGUAAAGCCCUUUUGUUGGGAAAGAAAAGCAGCAGGUUAAUACCCCGCUGUUCUGACGGUACCCAAAGAAUAAGCACCGGCUAACUUCGUG